UACAUGGGGUGCAAACGUUGCUCGGAAUUAUUGGGCGUAAAGCGCGCGCAGGCGGUCCUUUAAGUCUGAUGUGAAAGCCCCCGGCUCAACUGGGGAGGGUCAUUCGAUACUGAUCGACUCGAAGGCAGGAGAGGGUAGUGGAAUUCCCGGUGUAGUGGUGAAAUGCGUAGAUAUCGGGAGGAACACCAGUGGCGAAGGCGACUACCUGGCCUGUUCUUGACGCUGAGGCGCGAAAGCUAGGGGAGCAAACGGG
rnacentral:rRNA from 1 species